AGCGAACGCUGGCGGCAGGCCUAACACAUGCAAGUCGAACGAACAUAUCGGGGUUAGUGGCGGACGGGUGAGUAACACGUCGGAACGUGCCUUUAGGUUCGGAAUAACUCAGGGAAACUUGUGCUAAUACCGAAUGUGCCCUUCGGGGGAAAGAUUAAUCGCCUUUAGAGCGGCCCGCGUCUGAUUAGCUAGUUGGUUGAGGUAAUGGCUCACCAAGGCGACGAUCAGUAGCUGGUCUGAGAGGAUGAUCAGCCACAUUGGGACUAAGACACGGCCGAAACUCCUACGGGAGGCAGCAGUGGGGAAUCUUGCGCAAUGGGCGAAAGCCUGACGCAGCCAUGCCGCGUGAAUGAUGAAGGUCGUAGGAUUGUAAAAUUCUUUCAACGGGGACGAUAAUGACGGUACCCGGAGAAGAAGCCCCGGCUAACUUCGUG
rnacentral:rRNA from 1 species